CCUACGGGAGGCAGCAGUGGGGAAUAUUGGGCAAUGGGCGCAAGCCUGACCCAGCAACGCCGCGUGAGGGAAGAAGGCUUUCGGGUUGUAAACUUCUUUUGUCAGGGAAGAGUAGAACACGGUACCUGACGAAUAAGCCACGGCUAACUACGUGCCAGCAGCCGCGGUAAUACGUAGGUGGCAAGCGUUGUCCGUAUUUACUGGGUGGAAAGGGCGUGUAGACGGGGUCACAAGUCUGAUGUGAAAGCCUGGGGCUUAACCGCAGAACUGCAUUUGAAACUGGUGAUCUUGAGUACUGGAGAGGUAGGCGGAAUUCCUAGUGUAGCGGUGAAAUGCGUAGAUAUUAGGAGGAACACCAGUGGCGAAGGCGGCUUGCUGGACAGCAACUGACGGUGAGGCGCGAAAGCGUGGGGAGCAAACAGGAUUAGAUACCCGUGUAGUC
rnacentral:rRNA from 1 species